rnacentral:rRNA from 1 species
AGAGUUUGAUCCUGGCUCAGAUUGAACGCUGGCGGCAUGCUUUACACAUGCAAGUCGAACGGCAGCACGGGGGCAACCCUGGUGGCGAGUGGCGAACGGGUGAGUAAUAUAUCGGAACAUAUCCGGAAGUGGGGGAUAACGUACCGAAAGGUACGCUAAUACCGCAUAUGCCCUGAGGGGGAAAGGGGGGGAUCGCAAGACCUCUCGCUUUCGGAGUGGCCGAUAUCGGAUUAGCUAGUUGGUGAGGUAAGGGCUCACCAAGGCGACGAUCCGUAGCUGGUCUGAGAGGACGACCAGCCACACUGGAACUGAGACACGGUCCAGACUCCUACGGGAGGCAGCAGUGGGGAAUUUUGGACAAUGGGCGAAAGCCUGAUCCAGCCAUGCCGCGUGAGUGAAGAAGGCCUUCGGG